rnacentral:rRNA from 1 species
UACGGAGGGAGCUAGCGUUGUUCGGAAUUACUGGGCGUAAAGCGCACGUAGGCGGCUUUGUAAGUUAGAGGUGAAAGCCCGGGGCUCAACUCCGGAACUGCCUUUAAGACUGCAUCGCUUGAAUCCAGGAGAGGUGAGUGGAAUUCCGAGUGUAGAGGUGAAAUUCGUAGAUAUUAGGAGGAACACCAGUGGCGAAGGCGACUCACUGGACAUGUAUUGACGCUGAGGUGCGAAAGCGUGGGGAGCAAACAGG